AUACGGAAGGUCCGGGCGUUAUCCGGAUUUAUUGGGUUUAAGGGGAGCGCAGGCGGAGAUGCAAGCGUGACGUCAAAUUUCGGGGCUCAACCCCGUCUCGCGUCGCGAACUGCGUCCCUUGGUUGCGGGAAGGGGAGGCGGAACUCGUGGUGUAGCGGUGAAAUGCAUAGAUAUCACGAAGAACUCCGAUCGCGAAGGCAGCCUGCCGGCCCGUCAACGACGCUCAUGCUCGAAGUUGCGGGUGUCAAACAGGAGUAGAUACCCUGGUAGUCCGCACAGUAAACGAUGGACACCCGCGGUUUGGCCUGUAUGGCUGAGCCGCCAAGCGAAAGCGUUAAGUGUCCCACCUGGGGAGUACGCCGGCAACGGUGAAACUCAAAGGAAUUGGCGGGG
rnacentral:rRNA from 1 species